UACAGAGACUGCAAGCGUUAUUCGGAUUCACUGGGCGUAAAGGGUGCGCAGGCGGUCGUGUGUGUCAGGUGUGAAAUCCCGGAGCUUAACUCCGGAACUGCGCCUGAAACUACAUGACUAGAGCAUUGGAGAGGGAAGUGGAAUUCCAGGUGUAGCGGUGAAAUGCGUAGAUAUCUGGAGGAACACCGGUGGCGAAGGCGGCGUCCUGGACCAACACUGACACUGAGGAGCGAAAGCCAGGGGAGCAAACGGG
rnacentral:rRNA from 1 species